AACGAACGCUGGCGGCAGGCUUAACACAUGCAAGUCGAACGCCCCGCAAGGGGAGUGGCAGACGGGUGAGUAACGCGUGGGAACAUACCCUUUCCUGCGGAAUAGCUCUGGGAAACUGGAAUUAAUACCGCAUACGCCCUACGGGGGAAAGAUUUAUCGGGGAAGGAUUGGCCCGCGUUGGAUUAGCUAGUUGGUGGGGUAAAGGCCUACCAAGGCGACGAUCCAUAGCUGGUCUGAGAGGAUGAUCAGCCACAUUGGGACUGAGACACGGCCCAAACUCCUACGGGAGGCAGCCGUGGGGAAGAUUGCGCAAUGGGCGCAAGCCUGAUCCAGCCAUGCCGCGUGAGUGAUGAAGGCCUUAGGGUUGUAAAGCUCUUUCACCGAUGAAGAUAAUGACGGUAGUCGGAGAAGAAGCCCCGGCUAACUUCGUGCCAGCCGCCGCGGUAACAC
rnacentral:rRNA from 1 species